UACCUUUGAGAAACAAAUCAUUUUUUAAUAUCGUCAACAAAUAUUAAAUCAUAACACUUUACAUACACAAAUUAUUUUUCAUACUGGUAUUCUAUGCUGUCAAAAAAUAAAUUUUCCCAUUUUUUUCUCUUUUUUUCAAAUCCGCGCAAUUUGUAUGCCAUAUCAACGUGUUCGCACUUAAAGUGCGAAGACGACAUAGAAGAAAAAUGCCAACAGAAGGCGAUGAAGUCAACUUGGACUGCGCACAAGGCAAGACCACCAUCCAAUAAACCCAAAAGCGCGUGGUCAAAAGAUGUUGAAACAUUUAACCGGAGUAUGGCAUGCUAUGGCCGGCGCAGGUUGUAUAGCACACACAAAGCAAAACAGUGAAAAUAUUCUACUUUUGCGUUCAUUCAUGCUAUACAAUACGAACUCGCAAACACCAAGAAUACCAUGACGAACCUUUAAUGAUACCACACGCGGACCAAGGCUCAUGCGGUUGGGCCCACAGGGAUACCUAUAUUCUUGCACUGAAAAUGUUGAUGAUCAUAAUCACAAAGGAUUUUGUGUUGUGUUGAAUCAACAAACGGCGAAGAACGCGCGUGCAUCAUCAUCAGUAUAAGAACACCGAGUUUAAGUACCACACAAUCUGUUGGCUAUGGAACUUGCUACCUCGAUCUCACUUUUUUCCUGUUUGCUCUUCAUUGUUAUUAUUUUUUGUCGUUUUUCUCAAGCCCAAGCACGUUGUGCGAUAGAACCGUAAAGUUAGUUCUUAUUUAUGGAUGGAAAAAAGAUCGGUGUUGCCUUUUUCCCGCCAACAAUAUGCUAUGCCAUCAAACGAAGAGGAAAACACUUAACAAGAUGAAUGCUGGUGAUAUACUUUGGACUUUUUCCUACGUGAGUAUGUUUCUGGAUGGUAAUUAAAUUUAGUGAUGUGCGCACGUUCCACAUGCUGAUGGUUAUUGCCAUCUUUCUGACAAAAAAAAGUUCAGAAAAAAAAAAAAAUAAAAUAGCACACUACGGUCUUUUAGAGAUUAGUUUUAACCCAUCUGAAGAUAAGAGGUGGUAUAUCUCAUUCAACAGGUGGAAUGUUGAAGAAAUACCUUUUCACCAGAAGAAAGAAAAAAAUAAAUAAAUUUCAAAAAAAAGCUUAAAUGGAAUAUAUUGCGAUGCUAGAUGUUGGUGUUUGGAUCGCUUGUCUCGCCUCCAAACCGCAGAGUGGAGAUACCAAUCUAUCACUGAAUUUUCGUUCGAGAGUUUGUCUGUUCACUAGAAUUUGAUCAAUUCCCAUUCGAUCUGAUAUGUCACACAGCUGGAAGCUUACGAGCAUACCGAUGUUAAGUGACACGUCACAUAACUAUUUCCAAUGCUGGCAAUCAAGGGUGGAGUUGAUAUGGGACCGUUUGAGGCCAGAAACCAGGCUUUAAGGUGAAAAAAUAUUUAUUUGAUACUUCCUAUAAAAUGCAAAAGAAAUUGCAAAACAGUGAAAUUUUAAGCAUUGACGCUUUUGAAGGCCGACUUUAUCUCAGGACAUCUAACAACACUUGUUGAACUGAGCAAAGAAUAGGUAUUAGUUGUUAGGAUAUUUUUGGUAAUAAUAAAGA